rnacentral:tRNA from 1 species
UUGCGGGGAUAGGAUUUGAACCUAUUCGCUCCGGGUUAUGAGCCCGACGAGCUACCAUUUGCUCUACCCCGCU